GACGAACGCUGGCGGCGUGCUUAACACAUGCAAGUCGAACGCUGAAGCCCUUUCGGGGGUGGAUGAGUGGCGAACGGGUGAGUAACACGUGGGUAAUCUGCCCUGUACUUCGGGAUAAGCCUUGGAAACGGGGUCUAAUACCGGAUAGGACCUGUCCUCGCAUGGGGGUGGGUGGAAAGUUCCGGCGGUAUGGGAUGAGCCCGCGGCCUAUCAGCUUGUUGGUGGGGUAGUGGCCUACCAAGGCGACGACGGGUAGCCGGCCUGAGAGGGUGACCGGUCACACUGGGACUGGGACACGGCCCAGACUCCUACGGGAGGCCGCAGUGGGGAAUCUUGCGCAAUGGGCGAAAGCCUGACGCAGCAACGCCGCGUGGGGGAUGACGGCCUUCGGGUUGUAAACCUCUUUCGACAUCGACGAAGGGGCCCUGUUGUGGGGUUUUGACGGUAGGUGUAGAAGAAGCACCGGCUAACUACGUGCCAGCCGCCGCCGUAA
rnacentral:rRNA from 1 species